GACGAACGCUGGCGGCGUGCUUAACACAUGCCAGUCGAACGAAGAGCGAUGGAAGCUUGCUUCUAUCAAUCUUAGUGGCGAACGGGUGAGUAACGCGUAAUCAACCUGCCCUUCAGAGGGGGACAACAGUUGGAAACGACUGCUAAUACCGCAUACGAUCUAAUCUCGGCAUCGAGGAAAGAUGAAAGGUGGCCUCUAUUUAUAAGCUAUCACUGAAGGAGGGGAUUGCGUCUGAUUAGCUAGUUGGAGGGGUAACGGCCCACCAAGGCGAUGAUCAGUAGCCGGUCUGAGAGGAUGAACGGCCACAUUGGGACUGAGACACGGCCCAGACUCCCACGGGAGGCAGCAGGGGGGAAUCUUCCGAAAUGGACGAAAGUCUGACGGAGCAACGCCGCGUGAGUGAUGACGGCCUUCGGGUUGUAAAGCUCUGUUAAUCGGGACGAAAGGCCUUCUUGCGAAUAGUGAGAAGGAUUGACGGUACCGGAAUAGAAAGCCACGGCUAACUACGUG
rnacentral:rRNA from 1 species